rnacentral:tRNA from 1 species
CUGGUCUUGUAAACCAAAAAUGGAGGACACAACUCUCCCUAAGACU